rnacentral:rRNA from 1 species
CACUGCCGAGAAAAGCCUCUAGAUAGAAAAUAGGUGCCCGUACCGCAAACCGACACAGGUAGUCAAGAUGAGAAUUCUAAGGUGAGCGAGCGAACUCUCGUUAAGGAACUCGGCAAAAUGACCCCGUAACUUCGGGAGAAGGGGUGCUCUUUAGGGUUAACGCCCAGAAGAGCCGCAGUGAAUAGGCCCAAGCGACUGUUUAUCAAAAACACAGGUCUCUGCUAAACCGUAAGGUGAUGUAUAGGGGCUGACGCCUGCCCGGUGCUGGAAGGUUAAGAGGAGUGGUUAGCUUCUGCGAAGCUACGAAUCGAAGCCCCAGUAAACGGCGGCCGUAACUAUAACGGUCCUAAGGUAGCGAAAUUCCUUGUCGGGUAAGUUCCGACCCGCACGAAAGGCGUAACGAUUUGGGCACUGUCUCAACGAGAGACUCGGUGAAAUCAUAGUACCUGUGAAGAUGCAGGUUACCCGCGACAGGACGGAAAGACCCCGUGGAGCUUUACUGUAGCCUGAUAUUGAAAUUCGGCACAGCUUGUACAGGAUAGGUAGGAGCCUUUGAAACGUGAGCGCUAGCUUACGUGGAGGCGCUGGUGGGAUACUACCCUAGCUGUGUUGGCU